GUUGUUUUAUUAUUUUUACAAGAAAAAAGAAUAAAUCGAUCCCUGACUUUUUGAUUCGCGGAUAUUUAAGUCCCGAUGAUUUAAAAAUACAUUUAAGUCCCUGACCUUUUCAAAAUCUGGACAUAUCAAUUUCUGAGUCUAAUUUGUUUAAUUUUAAAAACUCUUUCACGUGUGCAUCCGUAUUAACCAAGUCAGUACAACGGGAGUCACGUUUAAUUUUUUCGUUGAGUCUGACAGACCCAAGUGAACAUGAGGGAUCAAUAUGUCUAGGUUUUGAAAAUGUCAGAGAUUUAAAUAUAUUUUCAAAUCCUGAAGGACUUAAAUGUCUACGGAUCAAAAGGUCAGUGAC